rnacentral:rRNA from 1 species
UCCCCCAGUAGCGGCGAGCGAACGGGGAGCAGCCCAGAGUCUGAAUCAGCUUGUGUGUUAGUGGAACGGUCUGGAAAGUCCGACGGUACAGGGUGAUAGUCCCGUACACCAAAAUGCACAGGUUGUGAACUCGAAGAGUAGGGCGGGACACGUGGUAUCCUGUCUGAAUAUGGGGGGACCAUCCUCCAAGGCUAAAUACUCCUGACUGACCGAUAGUGAACCAGUACCGUGAGGGAAAGGCGAAAAGAACCCCGGCGAGGGGAGUGAAAAAGAACCUGAAACCGUGUACGUACAAGCAGUGGGAGCACCUUCG